rnacentral:rRNA from 1 species
GACGGGUAUCCGGCCUGAGAGGGUGAACGGACACACUGGAACUGAGACACGGUCCAGACUCCUACGGGAGGCAGCAGUAGGGAAUAUUGCUCAAUGGGGGAAACCCUGAAGCAGCAACGCCGCGUGGAGGAUGAAGGUUUUAGGAUUGUAAACUCCUUUUGUUAGAGAAGAUUAUGAUGGUAUCUAACGAAUAAGCACCGGCUAACUCCGUGCCAGCAGCCGCGGUAAUACGGAGGGUGCAAGCGUUACUCGGAAUCACUGGGCGUAAAGAGUGCGCAGGCGGGAUAGCAAGUCAGAUGUGAAAUGCUAUGGCUUAACCAUAGAACUGCAUUUGAAACUGUUAUUCUA